rnacentral:rRNA from 1 species
UACGUAGGUGGCAAGCGUUGUCCGGAUUUACUGGGUGUAAAGGGCGUGUAGCCGGGCUGACAAGUCAGAUGUGAAAUUCCGGGGCUCAACCCCGGACCUGCAUUUGAAACUGUUGGUCUUGAGUAUCGGAGGGGCAGGCGGAAUUCCUAGUGUAGCGGUGAAAUGCGUAGAUAUUAGGAGGAACACCAGUGGCGAAGGCGGCCUGCUGGACGACAACUGACGGUGAGGCGCGAAAGCGUGGGGAGCAAACAGG